CAACUACGCCUGCAUGAAGUCGGAAUUGCUAGUAAUCGCAGAUCAGCAUGCUGCGGUGAAUACGUUCCCGGGCCUUGUACACACCGCCCGUCACACCAUGGGAGUCGGUAACACCCGAAGUCGGUAGCCUAACCGUAAGGAGGGCGCCGCCGAAGGUGGGAUUGAUGACUGGGGUGAAGUCGUAACAAGGUAUC
rnacentral:rRNA from 1 species